UACGUAGGGGGCAAGCGUUGUCCGGAUUUAUUGGGCGUAAAGAGCGUGUAGGCGGCCAGAUAGGUCCGUUGUGAAAACUCGAGGCUCAACCUCGAGACGCCGAUGGAAACCAUUUGGCUAGAGUCCGGAAGAGGAGAGUGGAAUUCCUGGUGUAGCGGUGAAAUGCGCAGAUAUCAGGAAGAACACCCGUGGCUAAGGCGGCUCUCUAGUACGGUACUGACGCUGAGGCGCGAAAGCCAGGGGAGCAAACGGG
rnacentral:rRNA from 1 species